AUGGGGAAGAAGCUGUGCAGGAUUGUGCAGGCCAUCGAAGUCCUUGUGGCUGAGAUGAACGCCUUUGGGUUUAAGUAUCAGCAGCAAGCACCAGAGUCCAUGCGGUGGAGGCAGAUGGACCAUGUUAUCUUCGAUCCGAAGAAAAUCAUCAGCAGAUCGAGAAGCCGAGAUACUAAGAAUAUUGUUGGUACACUACUUGGUCAAGCCAACAAUGCAGAUCUCUCGGUCGUUCCCAUCGUUGGAAUAGGGGGCCUAGGCAAGACCACCUUGGCACAGCUAAUUUACAAUGAACCUGAAAUUCAGAAGCAUUUCGAGUUGCUGAUCUGGGUUUGUGUCUCUGACAGCUUUGAUGUGGAUUCCCUGGCUAAAAGAAUAGUUGCAUUUCAUCUAGAAAAAGAUGUAGUUGAAGCAGCAGCUUCCAAGAAAAGCCCACUGGAUAGUCUUCAAGACGUACUAAGCGGGCAUAGGUACCUCCUUGUAUUGGAUGACGUCUGGAACCGAGAAAGUGAUAAGUGGGAAAAGCUCAAGGACCGCCUUACACAUGGUGCCAACGGCAGUGUGGUUCUGACAACUACUCGUGAUGAAGGAGUCGCAAAAAUAAUGGGUACAGUUAAACCCUAUAAUCUCGCAGCUUUGGAGGAUAACUUCAUAAAGGAAAUUAUCGAGACAAGAGCAUUCAGUUUGCAGAAGGAAGAAGAAAGGCCUGCUGUGCUAGUUAAUAUGGUUGAUGAGAUUGUGAAGAGAUGUCGUGGCUCUCCUUUGGCCGCAACAGCGCUGGGCUCUGUGCUGCGUACAAAGACAAGUGAAGAAGAAUGGAAGGCUAUAUCAAGUAGAAGCAACAUUUGCACCGAGGAGUCUGGAAUUUUACCAAUACUCAAGCUCAGCUACAAUGACUUGUCAUCACAGAUGAAGCAGUGCUUUGCUUUCUGUGCUGUUUUCCCCAAGGAUUACGAGAUUGAUGUAGACAAACUGAUCCAACUAUGGAUCGCACAUGGCUUCAUCCAGGACCACAAAGAAGUUAGUCCUGAAACCAUUGGCAACCGGAUUUUCAGCGAGUUGGCCUCAAGUUCAUUCUUUGUGGAUGUGAAGCAAGGAAAAGCCACAUCCUAUGAACGCAUGGUGGGGGGUAGUUAUUACAAACGUACAUGUAAAAUCCAUGAUCUUAUGCAUGAUGUUGCGCUGUCUACAAUGGAGAAUGAAUGUGGUUUUGCACCCGAGGAACCAAAUCGGAUUGAGUGGCUUCCAGAUACAGCUCGCCACUUACUUUUGUCUUGUGAAAAACCAGAAAUUGUUUUGAAUGAUUCUCUGGCAAGAAAAUCUCCAGCUAUUCAGACACUUCUGUGUGAUAGUUAUAUGGAACACCCACUGCAGCAUUUAUCAAAAUAUAGCACCUUGAAGGCACUACAGCUCCAUACGCGGAGAAGUCCAUUCCCCUUAAAAUCAAAGCAUCUUCAUCACCUAAGGUACCUUGAUCUCUCAAGAAGUGAUUUUGAAGCACUUCCUGAAGAUAUAAGCAUUCUAUAUAACCUGCAAACAUUGAAAAUCUCUGGCUGUCAAGAACUGUGUCGGCUUCCAAGACAAAUGAAGUAUAUGACUGCCCUCCGUCACCUCUACAGUCAUGAUUGUCCAAAGAUGAGCAGCAUGCCUGGUGACCUCCGGAAACUCUUGUCCCUUCAGACGCUUACGUGUUUUGUAGCAGGCCAGACUAGCUCUGAGUGCAGCAAUGUUGGAGAGUUGCAGCAUUUAAAUCUUGGUGGUCAGCUAGAGCUAAAUCAGCUAGAGAAUGUGACAGAAGAAGAUGCAAAAGCAGCAAAUCUCGGAAAGAAGAAGGAACUCCGAGAACUGACAUUAAAAUGGACUAUUGGUUCUAGGGAUGAUGCAAGGGUGCUUGAGUGUGUCAAGCCUCAUGAUGGCCUGCAGUCUCUAAGGAUAGAAUCCUACGGAGGCACCACAUUUCCAACAUGGAUGGCUAUGUCGCGAAACAUGGUUGAAAUCCAUCUUUCCUAUUGUAAAGACCUACAAUGGCUAUUCAGUUCUGGUGCAUCCUUCAGUUUUCCAAAUCUGAAGGAGUUUACACUUCGAGGUCUGGAAUGUUUGGAGGGAUGGUGGGAAUCAAGUAACAUGGAACAAGGAAAAGAGGCAGUAUUUCCUCAGCUUGAGAAGUUGCAUAUUCUUGACUGUGCAAAGCUGACAACAUUACCAGAAGCAACACUGCUUGGAGAAUCUUACGGUAGAAUGGAACGGCCAGCAUUUCCUAUGUUGAAGGUUCUCGAAUUGAGAUACUUGAGGAGCUUUAAGAGAUGGGAUGCAGUCGAAGGACCUCAAGGAGCAGAGAUAAUGUUUCCUCAGCUUGAGGAGUUGUAUGUUGCACACUGUGGAAAAAUCAAAGCAUCAUCAGGACAACAAAAGGUUUGUCCAAAGCUGACAAUAAAAGCUGAAUCACCAAAGCUACGUGUUUUAGAGAUGCAGGGCAGUGAGGAAGAGAUGUUCCUGUGGAUAGCUAGAAAUGUGACUUCACUGACCAAUCUGAAGCUGCAGAACUGUGAAGGCUCGGAAACAACCUCGGCAGCAGCGGCUGAUAAUAGUUUGACACAAGCGAUGAGCGCCAUGGAGAAUUGGAAACAUCACGAUUUCCCUCUGGCAGACAUGGAGUUAAUUGGCUUUAAGUCAGGCGUAACAGAGCUAUGUGCAAGCUUUGUACAGCCCCAACGCUUGUGCAUCAAUGAUUGUGCCGCACUUGUCCACUGGCCAGAGAAAGAGUUCCAAAGCUUGGUAUCCUUGAGGAGUCUGAACAUUAUGUCCUGCGAACAACUGGUUGGAUGCGCAGCCGAGCCAUCAACAACAACAUCAGAAUCCUCGAGUCAGCUCCUGCCACGCCUGGAGUCUCUCAAGAUAUAUGGCUGUACGAGUAUGGUAGAGGUCUUCAGACUCCCCGCGUCCCUGAGGAAGAUGACGAUUCGCGAUUGCGCGAAGCUCAGGUCCAUAUUCAGCAGGAGGCUGCAGCAGCAGGGACAACCAUCAGCAUCAUCUAUCGUUCAAGGCUCACCAACUGUAUAUUCAGAGGUGCUCCCAUGCUUAGAAGAGAUAGACAUACGUGGCUGCGACGGAUUAACAGGGGCCCUUGAUCUUCCCCCAUCCCUCAAGCACAUCAGCGUUUAUCGGUGCGGCGGGUUGAGGUCAGUGGAAUCUCACUCGGGAGAGUUCCCGUCGCUGAAGGGCCUCUCCAUCGGGCUCUGCGAGACCCUGUCAUCCCUACCGGAUGGCCCGCGAGUGUACCCGUCUCUCAGAGUGCUCAAGGUCUAUGACUGUCCUGGUAUGAAGAGACUCCCUGCUUGCCUGCAGCAACGCCUAGGCAGCCUCGAGGGGGUAACUCUAGAUGCCCAUCAUCAAGGACCUAUUCUGUCGAAGCCCAAGACAUGGAUAAAUGGCAUCUGCAGAGGUUAG
rnacentral:rRNA from 1 species